GUUUUAGGAGCUCAGAAGUCCAACAUCAUGGUGCUGGCAGAGUCAGUGCCUGGACAUGAAAACUGAGGCUCAGAGAGGGCUCCUAACAUGUCCAACAUCUUCAAGUCAGGAAUCAACCAUUGCUGUUGUUUGUGGAAACACACACACACACAAAAGGAAGUGCCUCUUUGCUACGGACCAUCUUGCCAGAAGAGGGCACCAGAUCUCAUUACAGAUGGCUGUGAGCCACCAUGGGGUUGCUGGGAAUUGAACUCAGGACCUCUGGAAGAGCAGCCAGUGCUCUUAACCACUGAGCCAUCUCUCCAGCCCUCGUGAGUAUUUUAAAGCAAGUAGUUUGCUUCCUGCAACUCAUGCAAGCUGGUAACCAGUCUACAGUGAGUCUGCUCCCAAGGCCUGUCACCUGUGUCUGACCACAUGCAAGCCAGUCACAAUAGCUAACUCUGUAUUUCAUCUCCAGUUCUGUCCAUCCGCCAGGGUAGGUCCUCAUUGGCUUAUCUUCUGAAAGGCUGUUGGAAGGAAGUGCAGGCUGCUGCCUGAUACAGAUUUCUCUCUCUCAACAAAACAAAACACAUAAAGAAAAUCAUCUGGGGUUUAACCUAGGCCCUCU